CGCCAGACUCCUACGGGAGGCAGCAGUGGGGAAUAUUGCACAAUGGGGGAAACCCUGAUGCAGCGACGCCGCGUGAGUGAAGAAGUAUUUCGGUAUGUAAAGCUCUAUCAGCAGGGAAGAAAAUGACGGUACCUGACUAAGAAGCCCCGGCUAACUACGUGCCAGCAGCCGCGGUAAUACGUAGGGGGCAAGCGUUAUCCGGAUUUACUGGGUGUAAAGGGAGCGUAGACGGCAUGGCAAGUCAGAUGUGAAAGCCCGGGGCUCAACCCCAGGACUGCAUUUGAAACUGUCAGGCUGGAGUGCAGGAGAGGUAAGUGGAAUUCCUAGUGUAGCGGUGAAAUGCGUAGAUAUUAGGAGGAACACCAGUGGCGAAGGCGGCUUACUGGACUGUAACUGACGUUGAGGCUCGAAAGCGUGGGGAGCAAACAGGAUUAGAUACCCCAGUA
rnacentral:rRNA from 1 species